rnacentral:lncRNA from 7 species
CUGGGACCAAUUAGGUUUAUUGCAUGGGCAUAUUUAACGGAGCUCUCAUGCACCUCGCAAAGACGUGAUAGCCACAAGGAAAGACACGACGAAGUAGGCCGCGCCCUUGCCCUCGUGUCUUCGUCGUUGCCGUGGCGGCGUGGCCUUAGGGUCAAGCCGAGGAGCUCCACCAGUUCGCAAGGAAAAUAGUGGCGACCUCGCCGUACGUGCAGAACAAGCGACAUUGGGCUCGGGAAUUCUUCGCCGGAGGAAGAUCGUCGCCGCGGCUUUGCUGCUCGUGUGGCUAGGGGCACUCCCUGUCCAAUCCGCGCAGCGAGGUUACGAGUCA